GAGUGUUCAAUUGAUUUUCGCCGUUGUCAGCGUAAUGGCGUUUGCCAUAGUGUGUACAGAAACACAUGUGUGGUGUAAUUUGUGUAGUGCUGAUUCGUGUGCAUUGUAUGUUGGGAUGCACGCACAAGCUCAUUGUUGUUCCUGGUAUCCCGCUGAGUGUAAUGAUGCUUGACCGUCCUUGACAUAGACGUCUGAUAGCGUAAUAGUAUGCUCAGUAUCUGCUCUUCAUCACAUUCAUGCUGCACCGUCCCGAUUUACAGCAGGAACCCAAACUGACAGGUUGCCUGACCAUCAUACCAGAUACUCUCGGAAGAAGGUACCCUGUUGGCCAGUGCCGAUGAUGUAACGACCUUUGCUUGAAAUGGUACCAGGCGAGGAUCGAACCCGAGAUACUGUGGUUACUACUGUCUAUGCUUUAUGGGAGUUGUUAGCGGAACGGACAGUCCUCUGACUUUGGAUAGUGUUGGGGUUAUAUCAACUGAAUGAAUUCAGCAGUAGUAAAAGAGUAGGCCAGACGACCA